rnacentral:rRNA from 1 species
CAGUAGCCGCGGGAAAACGGAGGGAGCUAGCGUUAUUCGGAAUUACUGGCGUAAAGCGCACGUAGGCGGCUUUGUAAGUUAGAGGUGAAAGCCUGGAGCUCAACUCCAGAAUUGCCUUUAAGACUGCAUCGCUUGAAUCCAGGAGAGGUGAGUGGAAUUCCGAGUGUAGAGGUGAAAUUCGUAGAUAUUCGGAAGAACACCAGUGGCGAAGGCGGCUCACUGGACUGGUAUUGACGCUGAGGUGCGAAAGCGUGGGGAGCAAACAGGAUUAGAUACCCCUGUAGUCCCUGUCUCUUAUACA